GGGCCCGUGGCCUAGCCAGGAUUAAGGCACCGAACCAUCAAACAUGAAAAAGUGGUGUGCAAGCCUCCGGAGCCGGGGAUCCCGGGUUCAAAUCCCGGCGGGCCCGCCA
rnacentral:tRNA from 1 species